rnacentral:rRNA from 1 species
AGUGAACGCUGGCGGUAGGCCUAACACAUGCAAGUCGAACGGCCGCACAGUAAGAGUUUGCUCUUACGGGUGGCGAGUGGCGGACGGGUGACGAAUACAUCGGCAUCUACUUUUUCGUGGGGGAUAACGUAGGGCAACUUACGCUAAUACCGCAUACGUCCUACGGGUGAAAGCAGGGGAUCUUCGGACCUUGCGCGACUGAAUGAGCCGAUGUCGGUUGAGCUAGUUGGCGGGGUAAAGGCCCACCAUGGCGACGAUCCGUAGCUGGUCUGAGAGGAGGAUCAGCACCCCGGGACGGGGGACACGGUCCAGACCCCUAGGGGAGGCAGAAUUGGGAAAUUUUGGACAAGGGGCGCAAGCCUGAGCCAGCCAUACCGGGUGGGUGAAGAGGGCCUUCGGGUUGUAAAGCCCUUUUGUUGGGAAAAAAAAGCAGCAGGUUAAUACCCCGCUGUUCUGACGGUACCAAAAGAAUAGGCACCGGCUAACUUCGU